UACAGGGGGUGCAAACGUUGCUCGGAAUCAUUGGGCGUAAAGCGCACGUAGGCGGUUCGUUAUGUCGGAUGUGAAAGCCCUUGGCUUAACCGAGGAAGUGCAUCCGAAACUGGCGAGCUAGAGUACGAAAGAGGAUCGCGGAAUUCCCGGUGUAGAGGUGAAAUUCGUAGAUAUCGGGAGGAACACCGGUGGCGAAGGCGGCUCACUGGCCCGAUACUGACGCUGAUGCACGAAAGCGUGGGGAGCAAACAGG
rnacentral:rRNA from 1 species